CUCUGUGAUUGGAGCCCCGGCAGCGGAGGGUCCUCCGGGAACCAUGGAGCUGCUGCCUAGAGCGCCCCCUAAGCGCGAGUCGAGGGACGGGCGGGCUCCUCCCGAGCCCCGCUCCGGGGUUUAGGAGUCUGUUACAGCUGGCAGCUACAGGAGUUAGUCAAGAUGUGUAGUCACUUGUGUGUUAGCUCUCCAGGUCCUGGACUGGGUCCCUGCUGAGAACCUAGGUGACAGUUGAUACACGGGUGCCUAUCAGAUUCAGCCAAGAUGGAGCCUUUCCAGGCAUAUGCCACUGGCAUCUGGUCCUUUAAAUUUGGGAGAGACAACCAGCUGCAGCCCAUAUGAGCUGAUUCUGCCACAAACUGCAACUCCCUCCCUUCCAGCUGCUGGAUGUGGCCUCGCUGCUGAGAGAAGACGCGUCGCAGAAGCAGGGCUGCAGCAACCGGCUCUGAAGCAGGCAAUAAACUCCAUUGGCCUCGCUCGCCGCUUUCAUUCCUGGAGAACGUGCAGCUGCCUGGUGCUAAAUAUUUUUAAACCAAGGACUGCCUGGCCCCAAAAUGCCCGAAAGGCCCCAACUGUCAGCGACAAUCACCAGCAAACACUCCUCUCCCGCGCUUUCCGAGCAUGGACCGCGCCAUCUGUGCCAAAGGGCGCUCCCCCCACCUCCUGGCUACUACGUGCCAGCCGUGGAGCUGGGCAGCGCCACAGAUGAUUUUGGCUGCAGCCCCUGUCAGGGGAGUGCGUAGGACAGAGAAAUGUGAGCCAGUCCAAGGAGGCUUGCAAGCAAACAAAUACUGAGUGGUGCUUGGCUGGCUUUCCUGGAGGGGCCUAUAUAUAUAGGCUUCAGGCAUAUAUCUCUAUAUAUGUAUGCACAUAGUGCUAGCAUGGUGCAUCGUGCAGAGC